AUGGCUCGCCCCCACCAACGGUCGUCUCGCUCCCAGGCUCCGGCCGCCGCCAACGGACCAAUCCACGGCCGCCGGAUCCCACAUCCGCAUCCCCACCCACAACCCCACCCGCCGGUUCCUUGCUCCGAGGGCCGUCGGCCAGAUAACGCUCACAGACGGCACGGUUCCGGUACGGCUGCUUCGUCCCGCACAUCUGCGGAUGUUCCUCUGCCGGGCCGCUCGCGGCCUGCCUCUGUCGAUUUGGAGCCGGAUUGUGAAGGAUGGAUCCAGGUCCGCAACCGUCGUCGCCAGCCCCGUUAUGUGGCGGCCCCCACCGUCCAUCACCCCGCUAGCUCCAAGCUUUGGAUUCCCCGGUGGCUUCUGGGCAGGUGCUUUAAGUGCCUGGAUGAGGGGCACCAGAAAGCUAAAUGCUCCGGCGAGAUUCGCUGUCAUAAGUGCUGGGUCUCGGGACAUCUCGCCCGUGACUGCUCUUUUUCCCCAAGCUCGUCGCUCCACCAACCCCCUCCUCAUUCCAGAUCCAGCCAAGGCCACUCCUCUAGGGCGCUGCUCACCACGGUGGGGGGAAGGCGGCCCGCCGUCUCCCCUGAGGCGCUGGUCCAGUCCCUGGCCAGGAUCUGCGGGAUCGAGAGGAGGCACGUCGGGGUGGAGGUCACUCACCCGGCAGAUUUCUUCAUCACCUUCGCCUCGAACGCGGACUGCGACAACGUCUUCUCGUUCUCCGGCAAGCUGCGCUGUGCGGGCGCGCCCGUCUCUUUUCAGAGGUGGCAUAGGUGCGCUCAGGCUUCCAGCGGCAAGCUGGAUUUCUUCUGCAAGCUCGGGAUCGAGGGGAUGCCGGCUAGCGCGUGGGAGUGCGGGGCAAUCAGUCAACUGAUCAACAAUCUGAAUGGUCAACUGGUGGAGAUCCUGCCGUCGGACGACCGCUGGCAGCUCGAGGUCACCUCUUGGAUGAAGAAUCCUUCGGGCAUCCCAAAGAUCUACGACAUGGAGAUUCCGGAGCCGGUCGGCCUGCCGGACUCG
rnacentral:rRNA from 1 species